rnacentral:rRNA from 1 species
CCUACGGGUGGCAGCAGUGGGGAAUAUUGGGCAAUGGGCGCAAGCCUGACCCAGCAACGCCGCGUGAAGGAAGAAGGCUUUCGGGUUGUAAACUUCUUUUAUUAAGGACGAAGCAAUGACGGUACUUAAUGAAUAAGCUCCGGCUAACUACGUGCCAGCAGCCGCGGUAAUACGUAGGGAGCAAGCGUUAUCCGGAUUUACUGGGUGUAAAGGGCGUGUAGGCGGGAGUGCAAGUCAGAUGUGAAAACUAUGGGCUCAACCCAUAGCCUGCAUUUGAAACUGUACUUCUUGAGUACUGGAGAGGCAGGCGGAAUUCCGUGUGUAGCGGUGAAAUGCGUAGAUAUACGGUGGAACACCAGUGGCGAAGGCGGCCUGCUGGACAGCAACUGACGCUGAGGCGCGAAAGCGUGGGGAGCAAACAGGAUUAGAUACCCCGGUAGUC